rnacentral:rRNA from 1 species
UACGGAGGGUGCGAGCGUUGUCCGGAAUCAUUGGGCGUAAAGGGCGCGUAGGUGGCGCGGGCAGUCAACGGUGAAAGUUCGGGGCUCAACCCUGAAUCGGCCGUCGAUACUCCCGGGCUUGAGCACUGUAGAGGCAGAUGGAAUUCCGGGUGUAGCGGUGGAAUGCGUAGAGAUCCGGAAGAACACCGGUGGCGAAGGCGGUCUGCUGGGCAGUAGCUGACACUGAGGCGCGGACAGCGUGGG